rnacentral:rRNA from 1 species
GACGAACGCUGGCGGCGUGCCUAAUACAUGCAAGUCGAGCGAAGCGGCGGAUGGGUGAGUAACGCGUGGGUAACCAGCCCUUAAGUCUGGGAUACCAUUUGGAUACAUCUGCUAAUAGCGGCUACUAAAGGAUGGACAUGCGAUGCCUUAGCUAGUGGGUAAGGUAACGGCUUACCAAGGCGAGGAUGCAUAGCCGAGUUGAGAGGAUGAUCGGCCACAUUGGGACUGAGACACGGCCCAAACUCCUACGGGAGGCAGCAGUAGGGAAUCUUCCACAAUGGACGAAAGUCUGAUGGAGCCACGCCGCGUGAGUGAAGAAGGUUUUCGGAUCGUAAAGCUCUGUUGUUUGGGAAGCGGUAAUCAACCAGAAAGUCACGGCUAACUACGUGCCAGCAGCCGCGGUAAUUC